UACGUAGGGUGCAAGCGUUAAUCGGAAUUACUGGGCGUAAAGCGUGCGCAGGCGGUUAUGCAAGACAGAUGUGAAAUCCCCGGGCUCAACCUGGGAACUGCAUUUGUGACUGCAUGGCUAGAGUGCGGCAGAGGGGGAUGGAAUUCCGCGUGUAGCAGUGAAAUGCGUAGAUAUGCGGAGGAACACCGAUGGCGAAGGCAAUCCCCUGGGCCUGCACUGACGCUCAUGCGCGACAGCGUGGGGAGCAAACAGG
rnacentral:rRNA from 1 species